AGGACGAACGCUGGCGGCGUGCUUAACACAUGCAAGUCGAGCGGAAAGGCCCCUUCGGGGGUACUCGAGCGGCGAACGGGUGAGUAACACGUGAGCAACCUGCCCCCGACUCUGGGAUAAGCCUGGGAAACUGGGUCUAAUACCGGAUGUUACUACUGGCCGCAUGGUCUGGUAGUGGAAAGUUUUCGGUUGGGAUGGGCUCGCGGCCUAUCAGCUUGUUGGUGGGGUGGUGGCCUACCAAGGCGACGAC
rnacentral:rRNA from 1 species